CACCUUUCAGAGUCACACCUAUAGAGUUUCCAUUGCUCUACCAGUUUCGACUAUGGGAGGGAGAGUCAAGCAGAGCCAUAUCCAUUCCAUUCCUAGCUUGGGCAGUGGCUAGCGAGUGGAAGGCAAUCUGCUACAAGU